rnacentral:rRNA from 1 species
GACGGAAGGUGCAAGCGUUGCUCGGAAUCACUGGGCUUAAAGGGCGCGUAGGCGGGCCACCAAGUCCGCGGUGAAAUCCCCCGGCUCAACCGGGGAAGUGCCGCGGAUACUGGGGGCCUCGAGGGAGGUAGGGGCGUGCGGAACACUGGGUGGAGCGGUGAAAUGCGUUGAUGUCCAGUGGAACUCCGGUGGCGAAGGCGGCACGCUGGACCUCAUCUGACGCUGAGGCGCGAAAGCCAGGGGAGCGAACGGG